rnacentral:lncRNA from 1 species
UAGCUAAGGAGCCAAGGUCUCACCAGAAGUCCAAGCACAUCGAGCGGCGAUUCCAUCUGAUCCAUGAAUACCUCGAAAAAGGUUAUGUCGAGGUCAAGAGAGUCGACUCCACAGACAAUGUGGCAGACCCGCUGACUAAGCCAUUGGGCCAAUAGAAGAUCGAAGCCCACCUUGAGAAGAUGGGACUUAGAUAUGUAGCCAAUUGGCAUUAGGUCAAGUGGGAGUUUGUUAGAUGUGUGCCCUAGAUGCCAGAUCGGCUGACACAUUCCUGUACAAAUCUAAGGAUAAAAUUAUAAUUUUGACUAUAAAUGAAUAAAAGGAUUAUUCUUCUAUCAUAUUAUGUACAUUGUGUCUGUGAUACAUCUUUUGAGUUAGUGGAAAUGUUAAUUCAUAUUUUCAAGAGUUGAAAAUUUAAGGCAUGAAUUUACAUAACUAACUCAUAAACUGCUCCUGACCAUAGG